CCGGCCCAGAAGCCCAAAAAAACCCACCGUUCCUCGCCCGCGCCGCCUCCGCGAAUUAGGGUUUUUCCAGGUACAGACAAAACCCAGCCGUCGAUGCGCGGGCUUUCGCAUCCGAACCCUCCGUGCCCAUCCGAGUCCCGCCGCUAUAAAUGAUGAACGAGAAGGGGUCGCUCCCCCGACCAGCAGCAGCUCUUUAACCCUAAUACGUCCCUCUCUCUCUCUCUCUCGGGUUUUCUUCCCCCCCACCCCAACGCACACACAACUGCACCUAUACUAUUCAUCGAUAGUGUUAGCUCGGUUUCUUUCGAGAAGAAUCUCGAUCUCGAGCAGCCGAGGCCGGGAUUGACCUGAUCUGAUAGCUGGGUCAUCAGCUAUGUCGUCGACGAGCUCCUCGUCGAAGGCCUCGCUAACAACUGCACAGGCGAGGGAUGAUCUAGUCGAGCAAUUGAAGGAUGCGAAAAAUGUUGAUGCGAGAACUUUCCCUUCAACUGAAGCAUACUUUAUAUCUUAUGAUUAAGUCAUUCAAGAGUUAAUGAGGCCAUCUGAUGCUGUGAUUCAUGCGUCUGGUCAGAGGAUCGACAUAGUGUAUAGCUGAAAUGGGCGAAUUUAGGCUUGUGGUGUGGAAAUCUAUUUGAUGUCUACCGGCCAAGUUUUCGCUGAUAGUUGUUGCUGCAGUUAUCGGAGUCAUUGCAAAAACAUGACUGCAUCUCUGCUGGCCCAUUUUUGUUGAUAGUGGUGAUAGUGUAGAUACUGACUGGCCUGUUUUUCUGGCCCGAAGACUUGCGUAUUAGGCGAGUUGUGCAAUUUUGCAAUUUUCUCCUCGAUUUCAUUAUCCAUCGGCAUAAAAGCCAUCAUCGUCAUUUAUCUUUAAACGUUCAAAACUGUUGGAUUGUUGUGAGGAAAAUGAAUGCCUGCAAUCUUUCA